GGGGGCGACCUGGCUUCGACGGGGAUCGCAAAACCUGAGGUGCAUGCCGAGUAUUUCAGUUCUUCUCGUAAAACAGACUGGAAAAUUAAAAUAGUUGCUAACGAUAACAACUACGCACUAGCUGCUUAAUAACCAGCAAAUGCCGUCCGACCAGAUCCGUGCUUGUGCGACUGGUAUCGGGCGUCGACUCACACAAGAUCGUCUCGACGUAAGCUAGGUGCGAAGAGACUAAAACUUUAACUAGCUCGCUGUUUGUUUGCCCUGUCCAUCGGGUUGCAAACAGUUAAACUAAAAGAUGGAAUAAGCAUGUAGAUCCAAGGGCGGAGGAUCUGCGGACGCGGGUUCGAUUCCCGCCGCCUCCACCA
rnacentral:tmRNA from 1 species